ACACGUUAAAUGUGUUGGACGACUUCUGUCCGUUAGACUCAGCCCUCAGCGUGUCCUGGCAGAAGAUCAGCUUUAACAGGUUUUUUCUGUCCACCUUCAGUAAAUCAGACCCUUUGUGUUUAAUUCAAGUCUUUAUUUUCCGUUUAUGGAUUCACCUUUUCUAACAGAUGUUUCAGUGUUUUGACAGAUCCACGUUCUGCAGCAGAACCACACGUCAUGCGAUGGAUGUUCAUUUUCCAAGUUCUGACAGAUCCGUUUGUAGACGUUUGCGAACUUUUUUGAUCUACGCGCUUCAUCUACCUGUUCAUUUGUCCAAAACAUAUUCUGGUUUCUGACAGAAUACAACACAUCUCAGAUUUCAUUUUGACGACAGAUCCAGAUCUUUCACCACCAGUUCUAGUGUUUCGACAGAUCCGACAAAUCCACAAGUUUUGUGACAGAUCUGGUCAUUUUGCGAAAAAUCCAGAUGUUUUAUCUUGUUGCUUGUUUUUUUCCCACAGAUCCACAUUUUCUUUUUUUUUUUUUUUUACCCUGAUCCACGUUUUCUAAGACACAUUUUCUGACAAAUCCACGAGUUUUGUGACAGAUGUGGACGUCCAGAUCCGGAUCCGGAGCCAGAUCCGGAUCCAUGUUUCAAUCCAGGGCCUUAUACGGGGCAGUUUCAGGUCGUUCGUCUUCAGGUGCAGAAUCUUUUCUCUGAAUCACGUCAGGUUUCUUUUCUUAUUUGGUUUCUUUCUUUUUUUAACUGUUUGCUGUUGUUACUGAUGUGACUUAAGUUGUGAAGAAUUUUUUAGCAAUAGACGAAUAUUGAUCUGACGAGUUUCUAAAGAGUUGGACUCGAAGGAAGUCGAGUCAUUUAUCUGCUGUGAAUCUGUUAUUUAUACGUCACUACGGGACGAACUGGAAGCAGAUAGUGACAAUAAACACACUAUCAGCCAACGGACGGGAUGGAAUUCAAACAGGAAACAAAGAGAAUUUGGAUCCGAGUGUUUUUUAUAAUCGUCAUUUACUGCGAUUCAGCGUUAAAACGAAAAGAAGAAAAAGUGCAUGAAGGGAAUUCUGUGUACAUGUGUGAAGUCAGUGAUGAUGAUGAUGAUGAAGAUGAUGAUGACGUCGUCUGUAUUUGGGAGUGUUGGUAAAAGGGGGCGGAGUCAGAGCCUGUUGAAUGUACCUCUCCCAGGCGUGUACAGUCGUCCUCCUUCAGUUCAUCCGGUGUGGUGUUGUUCUUCCGCUGCUCUUCAACUGCAGAUUCAACGGCGCUCCUGCUGUUCGCUCUGCUUUUGUAAAUGAACUCACAUGCUUUGUGUUUUUUUGGUUGACACCGUACCAAAGUUAUCUGCAAUAUUACUGCACUGCAUGAUGGGAUUCUUCCAGAUUAACUGACGGCGUCUCUUCUUCUAUGCUCUCUUUAUUCUUUGGAUUUUCUUCCAUCUGCCAAGAAAACACUGCAGUGUAUCCGACGCUAUAACUGAGUCUGCAUACUUGAAGUAUCUGAGUAUGAAACGUGUCCCAGAGAAAGUAUAUCCUGUUAUUGUGUACAAUUAUGUUUACUAUGUAUUCUGAAUAUAUUUACAGUGUAUAAAUAUACAUUAAAAACUUUAUUUAUUAUCAUUCUG